GCCUGUAACCUGAAGCGAGUAUACUCCUUGAAACCUGCUUUUUCAGACCCAGGUGCCAGAGGUGAAAUCAUUCUGAUUAGCAAAUAGAGGAAUGUUCUUCUAAGAAGAGAAGCAGAGCAAGCAAGGUUAUUCCUAGAGGAGGAGUCAUCUAGUGAUGUGUGCACUGUAGGAAACAGUUUAUUCUAUGACUUCAGAAGGUGAUUAAUUUUCCUCCUUCCAGUGACAGCCUUACCUUACCUGCUCCUCCAACCUGUGCUAGAUCUUGCUACCAGCUGAGGACUGUCUCUAGGAAUUGCAGCUUCUGAAAUUUGAAGAUUCUGAAUCUGCUUUCAUUGCUGCAGCGGUUGUACCUCCUCCCAUGAAACCAGGCUAAGGCUGGUAAGCACACUGUCUUCAUAAGGCUCAAAAUCUGAAGAACACUGCAGAAUUUGGUAAAUGGAACUAUUAAGUUGUCUUGUCUGCUAACAGCUUGUGUUUCAGUUCUUAAGAAUUUGAGUGAAAGCUGGAGACUUGCACUUACACUCCACAUCCUCUGAAAACUACUUUUGAGUACAGCUCCUGGAAUCUGAAAGUUAUAUUUAUUCACUGAGUAAUAAUGUUAGUAGUGCCAAUAGCAAUAGGAAGUCCACAGUACGAGUUCUGAAAUUCUAUAAAAAUAGUUGGGUUACAGCAAUAAAUAACAUCAUUUGCACUUUUACAAACACAAAGUUCUGAUUCAAUUUGGUUUGGAAUGCUAAAUGAGGCAAUAUGCUUCUUUCAGCUGUGUGUGUACAUCACUCCUUGUAAUCAGCACUCUGGGGGUACCCUUAGGAGAAAAACUUCGCCUCAUCUCUAGAGGAGCGAGCAGUUCCAGCCGCCAGGCUGAGGAGGAGCACUGUAUUGGGAAGAGUAGUGCAGCACACUGGAAUAACCUAAGCCAGUUAUGCUCCAUCUAGGCUAGUAGCUACACUUUUCAAAGGUUUAAACAAUGUUCUGGUUAAUCAUUAUUGACAGUCAAAGAAACAGGUUAGGCACAGUCCAAAAGAAAUUUAAAAAUACACAAAUUAGAGUAAUUAUUUACUCUAGCUCCCGGAGUUCAGGUAACUCAGACUACUUUUUAGAUGUUUCCGUGUCAGCUGCUUAUAUAAUGGUUACAAAACUUAAGUAUUCAGGCCACUGUCGUGUAAAUUCUCAACACAGAGCUGUGAACUACUUUUUAUUUCCCUUCCCCAUCUACUUACCAUCUUUAGCAGCUAGAUAUUUGCUGCAUUAAAACAGGAUUUUACAGAGGAGAGCAGCAGGGAGUCUCAGCAGCAGAGUCCAACAGGACUGACGUGUUAAAGCACCGUUGAGCCGAUGCACUUGUUGAAUUCCUUAUUUUACUUAAAAAUUAUACAGAGAAAUAUACAAAAGCGAUGCAUUAAAUCAGUUUCAUUUGCGUAAUGGACCUCUGUGGAUUUUGAUUUCCAGUCAGAGACCAUACACACAUCUACUGAUGCCACAUUUUCUCCUUAUACAAUAACCCUUUGCCUUUUGCUGUACAGCAGUUGAGAAUCGGUUUAAUUCUAACCUUCUGUUUAAAAAUAUUCCUGUAUGCCUUUAUGAAAAGAUAUUAAAAGGUAAACUAAGUUGAAAAUAAAG